GAGACAGCAGCAGCCGCGGGAAAAACGUAGGUCCCGAGCGUUGUCCGGAUUUAUUGGGCGUAAAGCGAGCGCAGGCGGUUAGAUAAGUCUGAAGUUAAAGGCUGUGGCUUAACCAUAGUACGCUUUGGAAACUGUUUAACUUGAGUGCAAGAGGGGAGAGUGGAAUUCCAUGUGUAGCGGUGAAAUGCGUAGAUAUAUGGAGGAACACCGGUGGCGAAAGCGGCUCUCUGGCUUGUAACUGACGCUGAGGCUCGAAAGCGUGGGGAGCAAACAGGAUUAGAUACCCCGGUAGUCCCUGUCUCUUAUAC
rnacentral:rRNA from 1 species